rnacentral:rRNA from 1 species
GACGAACGCUGGCGGCGUGCUUAACACAUGCAAGUCGAACGGAAAGGCCCUGCUUUUGUGGGUUUCUCGAUUGGCGAACGGGUGUGUAACACGUGAGUAACCUGCCCUUGUCUUUGUGAUAACUUCAGGAAACUGGGGCUAAUACCCGAUAGGAUCUCCUGCUGCAUGUGGGUGAUUGGUAAGUUUCGGCGUUUGGGGAUGUACUCGCGGUUUAUCAGCUUGUUGGUGGGUAGUGGCUUACCAAGGCUUUGACGGGUAGCCGUCCUGAGAGGGUGAACGGCCACAUUGGGACUGCGAUACGGACCAGACUCCUACGGGAGGCAGUAGUGGGGAACAUUGCACAAUGGGCGGAAGCCUGAUGCAGCAACGCCGCGUGCGGGAUGCCGGCCUUCGGGUUGUAAACAGCUUUCGACUGUGACGAAGAGUGAGUGACGGUAAUGGGUAAAGAAGCACCGGCUAACUACGUG